UGGGUGAGAGCUGGUGUAGUUUAAUUCAUUAGUGUGUUUUCCACGUGCAAAAGGAGGCGGAAGUCUGAUACUGAAAAAAAUCUCAUAAUACAGUGUUUUACUGAGGAGCCUAUAAAGACCUCUUCCGUGAUAGGAAUUGAUUAGAAUGAAGCUCCUGCAUGCCCGUAAAUUACAGCAUCAGCUACAGGCUUGGUUGUGCACAGCAAACUGCACAGCAAAGAGACCCAACGGGGUCUCCAUCAGGGGCUUGGGCUUGCUCUAGGCCCAGGGGGAUCUCUGGGGGCAGACGAAGAGUCCUGAGCUGUAGGCUAGAAGCAGGGAAGACACUGGUACCUGAGUUAGCUGGCUUGGAGCUCUCCUGGGUAGCCCUACUUACAACAGGCAGUGUACAAACAACCCGAGAAGACACUCAGAAGCAGUCCCACCCGGCUAGGAUCAAAGCUUGACUGAAGAAAAGACGGAGGUAAAUCCCAGCAGGGCCAAGGGACCUCCUCCUUAUAGCAGAUGGAGGAAAGCCAUGGCCCAACCCCCAGAUUUAAAAUGCUGAUUCCCAUCUAGUGAAACUGGGGAGUACUCAAUAACCCUCAAACCACAGACUUCACUGUUAGGUCUUGGCUAAGCUCCUGAUUCAGAGAGACCUCAGAAUAAUGAUACCACAGGUUAGUCAGGAAAAUAGGUACUUCCAAAUUCUCUUUUCUUCUGAAGGGAAUCAGGAGGACCUGUAGCUCCUCCCUCUGCCCCAAAGAAGGAAAACUUCACCAAAUCAGUCCCAGCAGAAGUUGAUUUAAGCUGUUCCUAAAGCCAUGUAUCACAGAGCAGCAAACCAAGGGCACAGUCACUCCAGCUAACCAAGUCCUUGCCGCUUUCCUAGCUUGAAAUUUCAACGCAAAAUCUGAAUGCCAAUUUAAAUCUUUCCUGCCAAAACUCAACCCCAUGACUUUUUCUUGCAUUUACAGAGGACACAUAUCUGUAGAUAUCUCCCUACAGAACUCUCUUUCCCAGUCUAAGCAGCCCCAGCCUUUCAACUUUUUCUUAGGGGCCAUUUGUCUGCUUGGUCUGUUCUAGACUCUCUCC
rnacentral:lncRNA from 1 species